GCCGCGGGGCAGGGCGGCCGCCUGCGCGGGCCGCCGCGAUGAUCCCCUACUUCUCCGACAACGCCGUCAUCUCGCAGGGCGCCAUCGCCCAGCUGAUUCAAACUUCACUUUGGUCUGCUGAAACUCUAAGGCAGCUGAUGGAAAGGUAGAAAGAAAAAAGCAAAACUUCAGACAGUCUGCAAAUACCAAAGCAUUUUUAACAGAAGAAACCUGCAGAGAUUGCCGUAGAGCCAUUCUUCCUGCCUGCAGUCGCUUCCUCUGCCUUUGGCCAAGUUUCAGUGUGAAGAAACACCACUUCACAGCUAAGAGGAAGUCCCAGGCUGCGCAGAUGUUCCUCUCUCUGGAAGUGCUUGGGAUUUUUCGAAAGGCUAUGAAGCAGAAGGACCUGAGUGAGAUUAUCAGCAGAAAAGGACCUUUUGGGGCCAGUGAAGAGGCUGGCUGGGAUUCUUUUUGCAGGACUGUACUUCCUUGUACCUUUAUCUGGGAGCCCCUGGCUAAGAUAUUACUUCAUUGUUUUUUAAACAACUUAAAGCUAACUUUCCUGAAAUGUUGCUUCUCACGCGUAUUUGUGGGGUCAGAGAAAGUUUAAAAUCCUGCAUCCUGCUCUACGAUAGGCUCUGAAGAGUUGCCGUCUCCUCUGCAUCAGUCUGGCAAACAGCAUUUAAAUUAUCAGCCUGUAUGGGUUUAAAACCAGUUCAGCGAUAUUUUUUUCCCCGUUGUAAUGCAUGUGAUGUGUACAGGGCGAAUCUGCAGCUUGUUUCCAGCCCUGGUGUUCUGUAGCAGCUGGCUGAAGACUUUUACUUCCACAAACGCACGGAGUAAAAUUCGUGGCUGUCGCUAAUUCUGAAUGCUCGUGCUUUUGCCGAAGUAUUCGGAAGACGCCCCUUUGCUUUGCCGAGGCACCUGGGCCCGAGCUUGAACUCGGCAGCUUGGGAAGCAACUGGAGACUGGCGGUAGUUGUUCUGCAGGCACCUAUUGCGGUGUUGCGUAGGAUUAACCAAGUGUUCUGGGACAGAGGGGACCCUCCUGGUUCGAGGACAUCAGCCCGCAACCGAGGGAGGUGGGGGAAAGAAAACCCUGUGGAGGCGAAUGGUAAAAUUAAGCCGUACCCCAGCGUUGGGGAGGGCUGGGGCCGACAGAGGAAUCCAGCCCGUCAACUCUCCGCAUAGGGACGGCGCUUCUUGGCAUUGGCAGCUUUUCAAAUUUGGGCAUUUCUAGGUGUAUUAAGGCCACAGGCUCCUCGGUCACUGCGUUUUGCUGUUUAUCCCGUACUUAUCUGGCCCUCAUCAACAUUGUACUCAGCCCGUUGGGGUCUCUGGGUUUAUUUGUAAUAAGCCAUUUAAGAAGUAUGCUUUUUCUCAAAACACCUUUGUUAUAAGUAGGAUAAAUCCAGGGGCUGCUGAACCAUAAAUGAUUUAGUCCUUUCUUUUAAACAAAUGAUCUUUGUCACUUAGUAGUGAAGUCCUUAAUUUGUUCACACGCCUCUCACAAUGGCUUACUGAGGUCCACAUUGUCCCACCAGCCCGGGCUUUGUCCUGCCUGUGAUCUCCUCGGUAACUCCGCGGUUCUGCCUUUGCUUCACUCUGUUAAACUUCCAGCUUUUCACCGGAAGAGCACAGAUUUGUUACAGGUGAAUUCUGUGCUGCGGGUCUGGUGGAGGCACAGGGAUGAAGCAGAGUAAGUUCAUCCCUUGAUCCAGUGCUGUCUUGAAGUGCCUGGGGUGGGCUGGGACUCCUGCCCCUCCAGAGGACUCUUGAUGAGCUGAGCUUAGACUUAACUGUCUGUACGCCAGCGUUACUGUGCGUAACGAAUGGUGCUGUAUUUCCUCUCACCCCGUGCUUCGUUCGCCAGCCUGAAGAGCGCGAAUCUCCUCGUCUGAGCCCCUUAUUGCCCUGCAGGCUCCGUUCCUGCGGCGUCCUCGCGGGACGCUUUGGAGCGGGCUGUUACCUGUGCUGUGGCUCAGCCGCCUCCGGCUCGUCGCGGCGGUGGCGGGCGGGCGCGGGCAGCCGUAUUCCGGGUGCAUUGCCGAUGUUUUGUGAAAGGCUCCAAACGGCAGGUGGGACUGGAGGAGGGUCGUUUUGAUUAGCAAAUGAUAAAUUUCUCUUUGUCAGGUGAUAAUUUAAGAGGGAACCUCGUUUGUGUAAAGGUACAGAUGGGAAAGGCUAUCUGUCGUUAUUCUUAACCUUUGUGUUCUGAAGCUUUGUUAGUCUUCUGCUUGCUUCCUGCAGCUUGGUGCUGGAUUAAAGUGAACCCAGAAUUGGUUUGGUUUGGGUUUUUAUAAGGCUCUGUGUGGUGGUGUGUGAAGAGUUUGUCACUGGCUUCUUUGUUGUUGUUGUUAUUGUUAGGGUUGUUUUUUUCCCUUUAUUUGCUUUGGAAAAGAUGGAGAAAUUAAAAAAAAAAAAAACAAAUGCAAAGCGGAA